UCGAAAUUAUUCAAGCAGGUCAACCCUAAACUGUUGACCUUGUCAUCCCUUUGCUGCAGAGACCCCAGUAAAGGCUGUGGCUGAAGUACUCUCCUUGCUCCUGUCUUCUGCCUCCUGACCACCCUGGUGUUCUUCCAUAUGGCCCCUGUGUGGCAGGCUGUGCCUCCUGUCCCUAGGACCUAUCCAGCUGUGGUCCUCCAGCUGCCUGAUUACAGCGGAUGUUGCAGCAUCCCUAGAAGGGCUUCCCUGGUGGCGCAGUGGUUGAGAAUCUGCCUGCC